UGGGGAAUAUUGCACAAUGGGGGAAACCCUGAUGCAGCAACGCCGCGUGAGUGAUGACGGUCUUCGGAUUGUAAAGCUCUGUCUUCAGGGACGAUAAUGACGGUACCUGAGGAGGAAGCCACGGCUAACUACGUG
rnacentral:rRNA from 2 species